rnacentral:tRNA from 1 species
CAAAGCCUAGCUUAUUUAAAGCAUCUGACUUACACUCAGAAGAAUUCAAUCUUAUGAAUGCUUUGA